GCCAGUAGCUCAGCCUGGAAGACCGCUCGGUUGACAUCCGAGAGGACCCGGGUUCAAAUCCCGGCCGCGGCACCA
rnacentral:tRNA from 1 species